GUCAUAUAUGAAGCAGAGUUUGCUAGUCUCAGCGGAGGAGCUAUGGUUGAGAGACGAGUCAGUGAUCUUACCAAGUUUACUGGGACUGGUGGAGUUAGAAUGAGUGGCGAUGGUAAUCGCAUUACAUUUCGAGUAAUUGUGCCUCAGAGAUCUAUUCAAUAUAGGCUGAUUGUUCGUUACGAGGCAUUAAGUUCAUUUGAUAGUGUCCAGUUGACAGCAGUGAGGUCAGGUGAUGAGACAAGUGUAAUUACC